CCCACCCCCAGCAUGCAUUCUAAAUGAAGUGAUUAUCCCAGAGGUUAAAAAUUUUGCAUUAUAUCUGUCAAGUUGUAAACUAGAUAGUACAAAGAAACUGGUCUCCAAAAAAAAAGUAUAAUCCUUAAAAAAUCUUUUUUUCUCUGCCAAUGAUUCCAUUUUGUGCAUGUUUGAUGGAGUAUGAAACCAGACACAGAAUAGGCAGCCAAAGCCAUGGCAGGUGGAGUGGGUACAAUGGAAGUACAUGACAGGACUCGAUUACAGAUAUAUUCCUUUUAUAAUACUGAAAAAAACCCACAUGCACAUAAUAUAAGUCUGCAAUUGAAGAAAUGAAGGGGGAGAAUUGUGUCAGAAUUUGAACUCAGGCCUUCCCCGCUCUGAGUUCGAAAUUCUAACCACUGAGCAACAGAAGAUAGAAGGCUAAUUGAUUAAGCUGUCAUUGGAGAAUUGGUGCAUGUGAAAAAAAAGGUGGACAGAGGUGCUUAGAGAAGAAAUAAAAUGUAAGAUAAUAAUUGAUUUUCCCCCUUA
rnacentral:lncRNA from 1 species